CCAAUCGAACUCGGAGAUAGCUGGUUCUCCUCGAAAUAGCUUUAGGGCUAGCGUCAUGUAAUAUAGCCAACGGGGGUAGAGCUCUGUAAACGACUGGGGCGGGCAACUGUACCCACCGUUAACAAACUACGAAUACCGUUGGUGGUACCAUGGCAGUUAGAACAUCGGGGCUAAGCUCGGUGCUCAAAAGGGAAACAGCCCAGACCAUCAUCUAAGGUCCCUAAAUUAACACUAAGUGGGAAACAAGGUGAAAUUUCUUAAACAGCGAGGAUGUUGGCUUAGAAGCAGCCAUUCAUUUAAAGAGUGCGUAACAGCUCACUCGUCAAGAGAUUUUGCGUGGAAAAUGUAACGGGGCUAAAGUGUUAUACCGAAGAUAUGGAUUUCGUUAUUCCUACGGGUUUAACGGAGUGGUAGAGGAGCGUUCCUAUCGGCAGUGAAGCUCAAUCGUAAGGUUGGGUGGAGCGUUAGGAAGUGAGAAUGCUGGAAUGAGUAACCAUAAGAAAGGUGAGAAUCCUUUCGGCCGUAAGAGCGAGGUUUCCAGGGCUACUGUAAUAAUCCCUGGGUUAGUCGGGCCUAAGCCGAGGCGUAGCAGCGUAGGCGAUGGACAUCAGGUUAAUAUUCCUGAACCGGUUAUAAUUUGUAUACUGUGUACGGUAAAUUAGUCGAAGCGGAUUAUUGGUAUAUAUCCGUCCAACUUAGCGGGAACGCAAAAGGAGUGAAAGUUAAUCUACGGAUUAACGAUUUUGAUGAAAGUACUGGCUAGAAAAGCAGAUAUACGCGUGGUUAUAGCCGCCCGUACCGCAAACCAACACAGGUGCUCGAGUCGAGUAGACUCAGGCUUACGAGAGACCCUUCGCUAAGGAACUCGGCAAAACAGCGACCGUAACUUCGGGAUAAGGUCUGCCUCCGCAUCAUUCGAUGCGAGUCGUGUUUCAAGCAAUUAGGUUAAGAUUAAUGGUAUAUAUGAGUAUCUUAAACUUCUUUACCGAGAUAGACAAGUCAAAUGGCUUAGCUUGGAACGCGGCAACCUCGUGUCAAACGAUGCGGAGGCCGCAGCAAAAGAGCCCACGGAACUGUUUACCAAAAACACAGGUCUCUGCUAACACGAAAGUGGAUGUAUAGGGGCUGACUCCUGCCCAAUGCUGGAAGGUUAAGGGGAGCGCUUCACGGUGCGAACUGAAGCCCUAGUCAAUGGCGGCGGUAACUAUAACCGUCCUAAGGUAGCGAAAUUCCUUGUCAGGUAAGUUCUGACCCGCACGAAUGGAGUAAUCAUGUGGGCACUGUCUCGGCGAAGGACUCGGUGAAAGUGCAUUGGCGGUAAAGAUGCCGUCUGUCCAUGCCAGGACGAGAAGACCCCAUGGAGCUUUACUACAGCUUUACAUUGACACGGGUUACAUCAUGUGUAGCAUAGGUGGGAGGCUUUGAAGCAGAUACGCCAGUAUUUGUGGAGCCACAGGUGAAAUACCACCCUUGAUGUAGUCUUUGUCUUACCAUUGCCGUUAUCCGGUAAUGGGACCGUGUAUGGUGGGUAGUUUAACUGGGGCGGUUGCCUCCUAAAGAGUAGCGGAGGCGUUCAAAGGUUGGCUAACUUCGGAUGGAAAUCGAAGUGAUAGUGUAUGCGCAUAAGCCAGCUUGACUGUGAGGAGUACAUUCCAAUCAGAGACGAAAGUCGGAGCAAGUGAUCCGCUGUACGUACAUUUGUACAUGAAUGUGGGAUCGACAGCGCAAACGGAUAAAAGUUACCCUGGGGAUAACAGGCUUAUAGCGCCCAAUAGUUCACAUAGACGGCGCUGUUUGGCACCUCGAUGUCGGCUCAUCACAUCCUGGAGGGGGAGCACCUUCCAAGGGUUCGGCUGUUCGCCGAUUAAAGUGGUACGCGAGCUGGGUUCAGAACGUCGUGAGACAGUUCGGUUUAUAUCCGGCAUGGACGUAAGGAUUCUUGAGGAGAUUUGUCUCUAGUACGAGAGGACCGAGAUGAACGAACCUCUGGUGUAUCGAUUGUGGCCACCUGCUGCAGUGUCGAGUAGCUAUGUUCGGUUAAGAUAAGCGCUGAAAGCAUAUUAAGCGCGAAACUGACUCCAAGAUUAGGAAUCCCAUGAGGACACAGAAAGAUGAUCUGUUUGAUAGGCGCAAGGUGUAAACCUGGUAACAGGCUAGCUAAAGCGUACUAAUAGUCCAAUCGCCUUUUUAU
rnacentral:rRNA from 1 species